rnacentral:lncRNA from 1 species
CUUAGAUCCACUGUCAAAUAAUGCUUUACAGUCAACUUAUGGAAACACCUAUAAUAGUCAGCAACCUCAGGUCAACACUUACUGUGAAAUUUAAGGGAAGAGAAUGGGGGGAGGGAUUUUAAAAAUUAAAAUCAAAUCAGUGUGUUGGGGGAGUAUAUUUUAUCUUUGACAAUUUCAUGAGCAAUGGUUUUCUAUUUAUAUUUUUUUCAACAGAACUAGCCAAGGGAAAAAAACAGGAAAAGAAAGAAAAACACAUGGAACCAGGUAAGUGUUUUUAAAUUCCUCCAUCCUCUUAAUUUUGAGAUAUUAAUUUGCAAUUGAAUACUGAAAUGCCAUCAAAUAGCAUGGAAUGUUAAUUUUGUUUUUCUUUUCUUAUUUGAUUCAGCAAAGUCACCAAAGAAGGAACAGUCAGAGACUGAACAAACCAAAGAAGAGGUUGGUUCUGCCUCAUCGAAAAAAGCUGUACCUGGAAAGAAGGAAGAGAAAACAACCAAGACAGUGGAGCAAGAAAUUAGAAAAGAAAAAUCUGGGAAGACUUCUUCAGUUCUGAAGGAUAAAGAGCCUAUUAAGGAAAAAGAAGUAAAGGUUCCAGCUUCCCUAAAGGAAAAAGAACCUGAAAUUAAAAAAGAUGAAAAGAUGUCCAAAGCAGGCAAAGAAGUCAAGCCCAAGUCUCCACAGCCACAAGUGAAAAAACAAGAGAAGCCAGAGUCACAAGUUAAAAAGGAAGCAAAACCAGCUUCAUCUGAAAAAGCUCAAAUACACAAACAAGACACAGUGAAACCAGAAAAGGCUGUUUCUCAUGGUAAACCAGAAAAAGCUGAACAUCAAGGAAAAGAAUCUCCAUCUAUAAAAACAGGUGAUUUUGCCUUUUUGGUUUGCAUUCUGUCUCAAUUCACUGUUUCUUUACCUUUGAAAAUAAAACCAA